rnacentral:rRNA from 1 species
UACGUAGGGUGCGAGCGUUGUCCGGAAUUAUUGGGCGUAAAGAGCUUGUAGGCGGUUUGUCGCGUCUGCCGUGAAAAUCCGGGGCUCAACCCCGGACUUGCGGUGGGUACGGGCAGACUAGAGUGUGGUAGGGGAGACUGGAAUUCCUGGUGUAGCGGUGAAAUGCGCAGAUAUCAGGAGGAACACCGGUGGCGAAGGCGGGUCUCUGGGCCGAAACUGACGCUGAGGAGCGAAAGCGUGGGGAGCAAACAGG